AGAACGAACGCUGGCGGCAUGCCUAAUACAUGCAAGUCGAACGAACUCUUCGGAGUUAGUGGCGCACGGGUGCGUAACGCGUGGGAAUCUGCCCCUUGGUUCGGAAUAACAGUUGGAAACGACUGCUAAUACCGGAUGAUGACGAAAGUCCAAAGAUUUAUCGCCAAGGGAUGAGCCCGCGUAGGAUUAGCUAGUUGGUGAGGUAAAGGCUCACCAAGGCAACGAUCCUUAGCUGGUCUGAGAGGAUGAUCAGCCACACUGGGACUGAGACACGGCCCAGACUCCUACGGGAGGCAGCAGUAGGGAAUAUGGACAAUGGGCGAAAGCCUGAUCCAGCAAUGCCGCGUGAGUGAUGGAAGCCGUUAAGGUUGUAAAGCUUCUUUACCGAGAUGAUAAUGACAGUAGUCGGAGAAGUAACGCCCGGUACUAACCGUCCGUGCCAGCAGGCCGAC
rnacentral:rRNA from 1 species